rnacentral:rRNA from 1 species
GACGAACGCUGGCGGCGUGCUUAACACAUGCAAGUCGAACGGAAAGGCCCUGCUUUUGUGGGGUGCUCGAGUGGCGAACGGGUGAGUAACACGUGAGUAACCUGCCCUUGACUUUGGGAUAACUUCAGGAAACUGGGGCUAAUACCGGAUAGGAGCUCCUGCUGCAUGGUGGGGGUUGGAAAGUUUCGGCGGUUGGGGAUGGACUCGCGGCUUAUCAGCUUGUUGGUGGGGUAGUGGCUUACCAAGGCUUUGACGGGUAGCCGGCCUGAGAGGGUGACCGGCCACAUGGGGACUGAGAUACGGCCCAGACUCCUACGGGAGGCAGCAGUGGGGAAUAUUGCACAGCGGGCGGAAGCCUGAUGCAGCAACGCCGCGUGCGUGAUGACGGCCUUCGGGUUGUAAACCGCUUUCGCAUGUGACGAAGCGUGAGUGACGGUAAUGGGUAAAGAAGCACCGGCUAACUACGUG